rnacentral:rRNA from 1 species
AACGAACGCUGGCGGCGCGCCUAAUACAUGCAAGUCGAGCGAGAAGGUGUAGCAAUACACUUGUAAAGCGGCGAACGGGUGAGGAAUACAUGGGUAAUCUACCAUCGAGUGGGGAAUAACCAACCGAAAGGUUGGCUAAUACCGCGUACGCCUCCGAGUCUUCGGGUUCGGAGGGAAAGCUGCACUGUGAGUGUAGCGCUCUUUGAUGAGCUCAUGUCCUAUCAGCUUGUUGGUAGGGUAACGGCCUACCAAGGCUUUGACGGGUAGCUGGUCUGAGAGGACGAUCAGCCACACUGGCACUGCGACACGGGCCAGACUCCUACGGGAGGCAGCAGUAAGGAAUAUUGCGCAAUGGGCGAAAGCCUGACGCAGCGACGCCGCGUGGGGAUGAAGGUCUUCGGAUUGUAAACCCCUUUCGGGAGGAAGAUGGAGCGAGCAAUCGUUCGGACGGUACCUCCAGAAGCAGCCACGGCCAACUUCGUGCCAGCAGCCG